UAAGGGCGCACGGUGGAUGCCUUGGCACUAGAAGCCGAUGAAGGACGUUACUAACGACGAUAUGCUUUGGGGAGCUGUAAGUAAGCUUUGAUCCAGAGAUUUCCGAAUGGGGAAACCCAGCAUGAGUUAUGUCAUGUUAUCGAUAUGUGAAUACAUAGCAUAUCAGAAGGCACACCCGGAGAACUGAAACAUCUUAGUACCCGGAGGAAGAGAAAGAAAAUUCGAUU
rnacentral:rRNA from 1 species